AUUGAACGCUGGCGGAAUGCUUUACACAUGCAAGUCGAACGGCAGCACGGACUUCGGUCUGGUGGCGAGUGGCGAACGGGUGAGGAAUGUAUCGGAACGUGCCCAGUCGUGGGGGAUAACGUAGUGAAAAUUACGCUAAUACCGCAUACGAUCUAUGGAUGAAAGCGGGGGAUAGCAAGACCUCGCGCGAUUGGAGCGGCCGAUAUCAGAUUAGGUAGCUGGUGGGGUAAAGGCCCACUAAGCCAAGGAUCAGUAGCUGGUCUGAGAGGACGACCAGCCACACUGUAACUGAGACCCGGUCCAAACUCCUACGGGAGGCAGCAGUGGGGAAUUUUGGACAAUGGGCGAAAGCCUGUUCCAGCCAUUCCGGGUGCAGGAUGAAGGCCCUCGGGUUGUAAACUGCUUUUGUACAGAACGAAAAGGUUUCUACUAAUACUAGGAGCUCAUGACGGUACUGUAAGAAUAAGCACCGGCUAACUACGUGCCAGCAGCCGCAGUAA
rnacentral:rRNA from 1 species